UCUCCUCAAAGGCGUCCCCAAAAAAAAUUGCAGAAAUUAUUUCCAAGGGUUGCAUCCUCUCACACACAACUUUAUUGUUUAAGAGUUGUAUCUCUUCAGAAGUUUAUAUAUUGAAGCGGUUUUGUGAAGUUUACAUAUUACGAAUCUAACGUAACGGGGAACGAUAGGUUAGGGAAGCAUCGGUGGUUUAUCGACGCAGGAUCUCUUCUUGUGGUUUCCGGUUAAAGGGAUCAGUGUGGACAUACCUUGCUCUGGCGAUAUAUAUUUCGAUGUCAGAGUUGUUUACAAGCGGUAUUUCAUGUCUUUGUUUGAGACUCUGAGAAAUUGUGUCGCUGUUGGAAGGAGGUUGAGUUUCGUGGGGAUAACAAGGUUCUGUAAUACAUUCGUGUAACUUUUCAUUUCAAAGCUCCGAUGUGAUGACGUGGCUCGGCUCAGCGAUGAGCAACCACGACACUUCUACGGACGGGUUCGAAGGUGUCGGCAACGGAGAAUGAAAGGACCGAGUGGUCGGAGCGGUGAGCAACUGUUUAGCGUUAUUCUCCGGCAGCGUCAAAGAUUUGAACGGAGUUACGGUCGUGAACAGGAAGUUACUUGGCGUAGAAGAAACAGAGGAGUUUCAGAGUUGGUUAAAGAGAGUAGACAGAGAGCUUCUCGGUACUCCGGCGACGGCGAUUCAAGCGGAUAUCACGGUGUCGAAAGACGGUAAUGGCACGGUUAAGACAAUCGAAGAGGCGAUCAAGAAAGCGCCGGAGCAAAGUAGCCGACGAUUCGUCAUCGACGUCAAGGCAGGAAGGUACGAAGAAGAAAAUCUCAAGGUUGGUCAGAAAAAAACAAACUUAAUGUUCAUCGGAGACGGCAAGGGUUAAACGGUCAAAAGUAUAUUCAGAUUCAAUCAUCUACGUUGCAAUUCUAUUAAGUAGAUCAAAGUGUUGGGAGAAACAUUGUGUAUCCAAAAGGGUUGACUAAUGGGUUUACAGUACAAGUUAGAAACUUUUAGCUGCUCAUGGUUUUCUGAAGACACUGACAGACAGACACACACUCCUUCCAUUUGAGGUCAGAUGCUCCUUUCUUCCCCCAAAUUGCUUUGAUCACUCUGUUUGAAGUGAAAAUGAUGAGAGAGUCUUCUGCGCAAGUUUAGAUGGGAAGAACAAGUAUUGGAUGGUUUUGUUUGAAAUUUCCAGAUUCAUCAUAUCACAACGUGGAUAUCGUGUGGUGUAAUUGAUCAUUCAAGAUUAAUGGUACCUUUGAAACGUUGUAACUAAGCGUAUAUUAUUGGGACAUCCAUAAAGAGGAAACCUCUGAUGUUAGCUAUAUGACGAUAAAUGUUUUGGAAUAGAAUAAAUAUUCAAGAAGAAGCAAAUGAGAAACAAGAGGAGAAGAAGGAUAGAGCACGUGUAGUAUAAUUAUGGAGUCGGAGUCGGAGCCAGCGAAAGAGGUUAUCACCGUGAUAGAUAAGCAUUGGGGUGAGAGAUAUAAGGUUGUUGUGGUCAUGGCAUGAUGGUGUGGUUGUCAGAACGAGAUCAGAGCUAAGGCGAGAAGAAAACAAAGGUGGAGAAGAGGAAGAAGAGCACAGUUCUGAGAUUGGUUGUUGAGAGGAGGAUUUCGUUGAUAUUUGAGUUAAAGAGAAUAUACACGUAUUGAUUUUUAAAAUAGGAUAUGCCACGUAAACCAUAGAAACUGACGUGACUGCCAUCAGAGUUAAGACCUUGUGGUGAAGAACUUUCCUUCCUACGCAAGCAUCAGAUGCAGCAGCUCAACUCUGGGAGGUUCAACUGGUCUGUUGCAGCAAUUUCAAGAGAACGUGUAAGGUUCAUUUGUACACCGAUAUGACUGAAAUUUUGAAUAGA